UCUUGAUCCAGGUGUAUGUGUGUACUGGUGGGGCAGCUUCACUCAUGCAGGUCAGAGUCACUGGACUUCCCUCAGUUAUUUCACCAGAUGGAGCAGACACAACUCUUGUGUUC